rnacentral:rRNA from 1 species
CAUAGCGACUAUCGUGGCAUAUCAAUAAGCGGAGGAAAAGAAACUAACAAGGAUUCCCUUAGUAACGGCGAGUGAAGCGGGAAGAGCUCAAAUUUGAAAUCUUCAAGGUUCUACCUUGACGAAUUGUAGUUUAUAGAAGUGUUUUCUGUUGGAGUUUUGGUAAAAGUUCUUUGGAAUAGGACAUCAUAGAGGGUGAGAAUCCCGUAUUUGACCAUUAUUUCCAGCUGUGUGAUACACUUUCAAAGAGUCGGAUUGUUUGGGAAUGCAGUCCAAAUGGGUGGUAAAUUUCAUCUAAAGCUAAAUAUUGGCGAGAGGACCGAUAGCGAACAAGUACCGUGAGGGAAAGAUGAAAAGAACUUUGAAAAGAGAGUUAAACAGUACGUGAAAUUGUCAAAAGGGAAGCGUUUGACACCAGUGUUGUUUAGCUCGAAAAUCAAUUAAAAUGAUGGAUUUUGUAAGUUAGUAUUGACUUUAUCAGCUUGCUGCCUUUUUCUAAUCUUAUUGAAUGCACUUUUCAGUUAACAAGUCAACAUCAAUUUCUUUUGUUGUAAAAGAGGUCAGUAGGAAGGUGGCUUUGGCUUCGGAUAAAGUGUUUAUAGCCUUUUAUCUUCUGCAAUCGGAGAGAUUGAGGUCUGCAGCGUAGAUCCUUCGGGGUUAGAUACAUUGGUGCUAAGCUAUAGCUCUUGUAUAGACAACUUGUUGACUAUGAUCAGUCCUGUAGCUUACUCGCUGAUGCUAUUUUACCUACGCUUAGGAUGUUGACGCGCGUGUGUGCGUG